rnacentral:rRNA from 1 species
UACAGAGGGUGCGAGCGUUAAUCGGAAUUACUGGGCGUAAAGCGUGCGUAGACGGCUAUCUAAGUCGGGUGUGAAAGCCCCGGGCUCAACCUGGGAAUUGCAUUCGAGACUGAAUAGCUAGGGUACGGUAGAGGGAAGUGGAAUUUCCGGUGUAGCGGUGAAAUGCGUAGAUAUCGGAAGGAACAUCAGUGGCGAAAGCACUCUGCUGGGCCGACACUGACACUGAGAGACGAAAGCUAGGGGAGCGAAUGGG